UAGGGAAUAUUGGUCAAUGGAUGCAAGUCUGAACCAGCCAUGCCGCGUGCAGGAAGAAGGCGUUAUGCGUUGUAAACUGCUUUUGCCAGGGGAUAAAAUAACUGUGCGCAGUUAAUUGAAGGUACCUGGUGAAUAAGCCACGGCUAACUACGUGCCUGCAGCCGCGGUAAUACGUAGGUGGCAAGCGUUGUCCGGAUUUAUUGGGUUUAAAGGGUGCGUAGGUGGCCCUGUAAGUCAGUGGUGAAAUAUCUCAGCUUAACUGAGAGGGUGCCAUUGAUACUGCAGGGCUUGAGUACGGAUGAGGUAGGCGGAAUUGACGGUGUAGCGGUGAAAUGCAUAGAUAUCGUCAAGAACACCGAUUAGCGAAGGCAGCUUACCAAGCUGUAACUGACACUGAGGCACGAAGUGUGGGGAUCAAAACA
rnacentral:rRNA from 1 species